rnacentral:sRNA from 2 species
CCGUCCCUCAUUGGGGAGUAGCCGCCCCGCGGCACGUCGGCACCGCUAUCCGGUGCAUCGCACGUGCGGUUCGCGGGGGCGUCUGUCAACACACUUGGCCUGUACGGCCAUGGCAGCCGCAGCCUCUGGCCUGGCGAGACCGAUGAUCCACACGCGCCGCAAGAGG